CAGUAGCCGCGGUAAUACGAAGGGGGCUAGCGUUGUUCGGAUUUACUGGGCGUAAAGCGCACGUAGGCGGAUCGAUCAGUCAGGGGUGAAAUCCCAGAGCUCAACUCUGGAACUGCCUUUGAUACUGUCGAUCUGGAGUAUGGAGGAGGUGAGUGGAAUUCCGAGUGUAGAGGUGAAAUUCGUAGAUAUUCGGAGGAACACCAGUGGCGAAGGCGGCUCACUGGUCCAUUACUGACGCUGAGGUGCGAAAGCGUGGGGAGCAAACAGGAUUAGAUACCCGUGUAGUCCCUGUCUCUUAUAC
rnacentral:rRNA from 1 species